rnacentral:tmRNA from 1 species
GGGGCUGACAGGAAUUGACAGCAUCGUUCAUUGACAAGUAAGCAUGCCGAGUGUUGUGUAUUUAGCUCGUUAAACUCAACGCACAAAACAAUUUUUAUCUGGCGAGUAUAACUACGCCUUGGCUGCCUAAUUCAAGGAAUUAGAUGGCCUUUGUCCUUUAUGGUGUCCGCCUGGUCACAUUGUAAAUGGGCAUAACUAAACCGGGCUGGUGUUGCAGAGUUCUGAUGCAGCAUAAGAAAAAAGAACUAAGGGAAUAUCAAGGGUUUGUUAAGGCGCCCGGUAUUUCACGAAAAUAAAGAAUUAGCUAAGCAUGGAGAAAGCUUGCAAAUGCCUUGUCUGGACGUGGGUUCAAAUCCCACCAGCUCCACUU